rnacentral:rRNA from 1 species
UAGGGAAUAUUGCGCAAUGAAAGAAAGUUUGACGCAGCGACGCCGCGUGAGGGAUGAAGGUCUUCGGAUCGUAAACCUCUGUCAAGAGGGAAGAAGUGUAGCAGCUCUAACAUAGCUGUUAUUUGACGGUACCUCUGAAGGAAGCACCGGCUAACUUCGUGCCAGCAGCCGCGGUAAUACGAAGGGUGCAAGCGUUAAUCGGAAUUACUGGGCGUAAAGCGCGUGUAGGCGGUCCUGCAAGUCUGAUGUGAAAGCCCCGGGCUUAACCCGGGAAGUGCAUUGGAAACUGUGGGACUUGAGUACUGGAGAGGAUGGGGGAAGUCCCGGUGUAGAGGUGAAAUUCGUAGAUAUCGGGAGGAACACCAGUGGCGAAGGCGGUUUCCUGGCCUGAUACUGACGCUGAGGCGCGAAAGCGUGGGGAGCAAACA